GACGAACGCUGGCGGCGUGCUUAACACAUGCAAGUCGAACGGAAAGGCCUGCUUUCCCUUGUGGAUUGCGGGUACUCGAGUGGCGAACGGGUGAGUAACACGUGAGUGAUCUGCCCCCAACUUGGGUAUAAGCCUGGGAAACUGGGUCUAAUUCCCGAUAGGACUGCAGGGUGGUGCCUGUGGUGGAAAACGAUUUUCUAGUGGUUGGGGAUGAGCUCGCGGCCUAUCAGCUGGUUGGUGGGGUAAUGGCCUACCAAGGCGGCGACGGGUAGCCGGCCUGAGAGGGUGGACGGCCACAUUGGGACUGAGAUACGGCCCAGACUCCUACGGGAGGCAGCAGUGGGGAAUAUUGCACAAUGGGCGGAAGCCUGAUGCAGCGACGCCGCGUGGGGGAUGACGGCCUUCGGGUUGUAAACUCCUUUCGACCGCGAGGAAGCCACCUGGUUGGAAGGGUGGUGACGGUAGUGGUAGAAGAAGCACCGGCUAACUACGUG
rnacentral:rRNA from 1 species